GAAAUGCGAUAAGUGAUGUGAAUUGCAGAAUUCAGUGAAUCAUCGAAUCUUUGAACGCACAUUGCGCCCGCCAGUAUUCUGGCGGGCAUGCCUGUUCGAGCGUCAUUACAACCCUCAGGCCCCCGGGCCUGGCGUUGGGGAUCGGCGGAAGCCCCCUGCGGGCACAACGCCGUCCCCCAAAUACAGUGGCGGUCCCGCCGCAGCUUCCAUUGCGUAGUAGCUAACACCUCGCAACUGGAGAGCGGCGCGGCCACGCCGUAAAACACCCAACUUCUGAAUGUUGACCUCGAAUCAGGUAGGAAUACCCGCUGAACUUAAGC
rnacentral:misc_RNA from 1 species